rnacentral:rRNA from 1 species
GCGCGAAAACUUUACAAUGCUGGCAACAGCGAUAAGGGAACCUCGAGUGCCAGGUUACAAAUCUGGCUGUCGAGAUGCCUAAAAAGCAUUUCAUAGCAAGGGCCGGGCAAGACCGGUGCCAGCCACCGCGGUAACACCGGCGGCUCGAGUGGUAACCGUUAUUAUUGGGUCUAAAGGGUCUGUAGCCGGCCGGAUAAGUCUCUUGAGAAAUCUGGCAGCUUAACUGUCAGGCUUUCAGGAGAUACUGUCUGGCUCGAGGCCGGGAGAGGUGAGAGGUACUUCAGGGGUAGGGGUGAAAUCUUGUAAUCCUUGAAGGACCACCAGUGGCGAAGGCGUCUCACCAGAACGGACCUGACGGCAAGGGACGAAGGCUAGGGGCACGAACCG